rnacentral:misc_RNA from 1 species
GAUGAAGAACGCAGCAAAAUGCGAUAAGUAAUGUGAAUUGCAGAAUUCAGUGAAUCAUCGAAUCUUUGAACGCACAUUGCGCCCGCUGGUAUUCCGGCGGGCAUGCCUGUUCGAGCGUCAUUUCAACCCUCAAGCCCCCGGGUUUGGUGUUGGGGAUCGGCUCUGCCCUUCUGGGCGGUGCCGCCCCCGAAAUACAUUGGCGGUCUCGCUGCAGCCUCCAUUGCGUAGUAGCUAACACCUCGCAACUGGAACGCGGCGCGGCCAUGCCGUAAAACCCCAACUUCUGAAUGUUGACCUCGGAUCAGGUAGGAAUACCCGCUGAACUUAAGCAUAUAAUAAGCGGAGGA